rnacentral:rRNA from 1 species
CCUACGGGAGGCAGCAGUAAGGAAUAUUGGACAAUGGGCGCAAGCCUGAUCCAGCCAUGCCGCGUGAAGGAUUAAGGUCCUCUGGAUUGUAAACUUCUUUUAUAGGGGACGAAAAAAGGGCAUUCUUGUUCACUUGACGGUACCCCUAUGAAUAAGCACCGGCUAACUCCGUGCCAGCAGCCGCGGUAAUACGGAGGGUGCAAGCGUUAUCCGGAUUCACUGGGUUUAAAGGGUGCGUAGGCGGGCAGGUAAGUCAGUGGUGAAAUCCUAGAGCUUAACUCUAGAACUGCCAUUGAUACUAUCUGUCUUGAAUAUUGUGGAGGUAAGCGGAAUAUGUCAUGUAGCGGUGAAAUGCUUAGAUAUGACAUAGAACACCUAUUGCGAAGGCAGCUUACUACGCAUAUAUUGACGCUGAGGCACGAAAGCGUGGGGGAGUCAAACAGGAUUAGAUACCCUGGUAGUCCACGCCCUAAACGAUGGAUACUCGACAUACGCGAUACACUGUGUGUGUCUGAGCGAAAGCAUUAAGUAUCCCACCUGGAAGUACGUCCGCCAAGGAUGAAACUUAAAGGAAAUUAGACGG